AGUGGCGGACGGGUGAGUAAUGCUUGGGAACUUGCCUUUAGGUGGGGGAUAACAGUUGGAAACGACUGCUAAUACCGCAUAAUGUCUACGGACCAAAGGGGGCUUCGGCUCCCGCCUUGAGAGAGGCCCAAGUGAGAUUAGCUAGUUGGUGGGGUAAAGGCCUACCAAGGCAACGAUCUCUAGCUGUUCUGAGAGGAAGAUCAGCCACACUGGGACUGAGACACGGCCCAGACUCCUACGGGAGGCAGCAGUGGGGAAUAUUGCACAAUGGGGGAAACCCUGAUGCAGCCAUGCCGCGUGUGUGAAGAAGGCCUUCGGGUUGUAAAGCACUUUCAGUUGUGAGGAAAGGUUGGUAGUUAAUACCUGCCAGCUGUGACGUUAACAACAGAAGAAGCACCGGCUAACUCCGUGCCAGCAGCCGCGGUAAUACGGAGGGUGCGAGCGUUAAUCGGAAUUACUGGGCGUAAAGCGCACGCAGGCGGCUUGUUAAGCUAGAGGUGAAAGCCCCGCGCUCAACGUGGGAACUGCCUUUAGAACUGGCAGGCUAGAGUCUUGGAGAGGGGAGUGGAAUUCCAGGUGUAGCGGUGAAAUGCGUAGAUAUCUGGAGGAACAUCAGUGGCGAAGGCGGCUCCCUGGCCAAAGACUGACGCUCAUGUGCG
rnacentral:rRNA from 1 species